rnacentral:misc_RNA from 2 species
ACACCUCAACUCUCAUGGUUUACCAUGAUGAGCUUGGACUUUGGAGGUCUUGCUGGCUGGUGGCCAGCUCCUCUCAAAUGAAUCAGCUUGCCAGUGUUUGGUGGCAUCAUGGGUGUGAUAACUAUCUACGCUUGUGGUUUUUCACCAGGUAACCUCCAGUGAUGGAGGUUCGCUGGAGCUCACAAACGUCUCUCCCUGUGAGGACAAUUUCUGAAC